rnacentral:rRNA from 1 species
AAUUUGGUACAAUGGGGGAAACCCUGAUCCAGCCAUCCCGCGUGUAUGAUGAAUGNCUNNGGGUUNUNAAGUACUUUUGGCAGNNNNNAAAAGGUAUCUCCUAAUACGAGAUAAUGCUCACGCUAUCUGCAGCAUAAGCACCGACUAACUACGAACCAUCAGCCGCGGUAAGACGUAGGGUGCAAGCGUUAACCGGAAUUACUGGGCGUAAAGCGUGUGUAGGCGGUUCGGAAAGAAAGAUGUGAAAACCCAGGGCUCAACCUUGGAACUGCAUUUUUAACUGCCGAGCUAGAGUAUGUCAGAGGGGGGUAGAAUUCCACGUGUAGCAGUGAAAUGCGUAGAUAUGUGGAGGAAUACCGAUGGCGAAGGCAGCCCCCUGGGAUAAUACUGACGCUCAGACACGAAAGCGUGGGGAGCAAACA